rnacentral:lncRNA from 1 species
AUGCAUGAGGACCAAGAGUGUGUUAGCUGUUAUCAUCAAUUCUUCACUGUUGCAGUGAGUGGAAGAAGAAGGACUAAGAGAAGUGUACUUUUCACAGUAUUCAGAUUUUGUGCAGGUCUCUACUACCUCAAAGGAAGCGUGAAGUCCAUGCUAAGCCAGAUACAGGCAGAUCUCAUUUGGUGCUCUGAAGAAUGCCAUUGUAGAGCACAGCAGGCUGAUUUGAAGUACGUGUGCCCAUGAUGCUAAGAUGCACUGCAGUGCUCUGUGUUACUUGGAGCGUCCUUAACACCGUAACUCGUGUGCCUAGUUACUCUGCAUUACUAGAUGCCAGCCAGGAGGUGACACAAGUGUGAAGAAUGAUGGCCUGGUCAUUCCCUGCCAGGACUAAAUGGAAUCUUCUAGCCAAAAAGAGUUGACAGAAAGCACCAUUCACAUAUUCUCCAGCUGAGAGUCAGCAAAGCAUCCAUUCCAGGAGCUAUGAAAUCUGAUUUCUUAGCCUAGAACAUUCUUUCCUUGGCUUCAGAAGUGUAGCCAAAAGUAAGUAUAUGGGUAACUGGAUAAAAGGCACUUCAGGAAACCGGAACUAUUUUUACACAUUUUCUAACAGUUCAUUGUUAUAUAUGUUACAUUUACCUAGCAAGACCAAGGUGAAUUUCCCUUGCAUCAAGAUUUCCUUAAACUGAUCCUUUUUUUUUUUUGUGGUUCUCUCAGAGCUUAAGGUUACCUAGAUUUUCACUCUCUUUAUCUUUUUAUAAAAAU